GAACAUAGGACGUCCAACUUAACUUGGAGUCCGAACUCUCACUUUCUAACCCUGUGCAUUUGUUUGGGAUAGUAACUCUCGCAAGAGAGCGAACUCCUAUUCACUUAUAAACACAAAGUCUAUGAAUGUAUUUAAUUUUAUAACAAAAUAAAACUUUCAACAACGGAUCUCUUGGCUCU
rnacentral:misc_RNA from 1 species